GUAACUGGCUUGGAAGAGGAUUUCCGUUUCCUUCCUGUCUGUUUCCUCUUCCAGGACCUCUGAGAACUAUGGGAAUUACUAGGAAGAGACGUGUGGUCCUGCCAUCAGGAGAAUAUUCUCCAUGAUCAUGGAAAAUGUGUGUGUAUGUAUGCAGGGCCUGUGUAUUCUAGCUUUAUGGACUUCUCCAGAAGCAUUCUGAUGGCUGCUGCUAGAAUCCUGAAUUUAGGAAGGAUGUGGUCAGAAGAUGAUGAUUUAUGGUGCUGAAGAUGGAUUCACAAGUUCACAAGUAACGCAGAUGCCAUUGGGAGCAAGAGAGCAUCUCCGGAGAAGGUUCAGCCCAAGGAAAAGAGAAAAAAGUGAGAUCUGCUUUCUCCCAGCCAUAAAUGAGAUUUUGAGAGCAGGAAGCAGGCAAUGACCUGUCGUUCUGAUAAAAAUUCACUCAGGGAGCGGCUUACUGUCAUAUUCCAGUAAGUUUGCCUGGAGGAUGUCUGUGUUUGAACUUAUACGAUGCCUUCAGCCUCCUCUUAGUUAUGUGACAUCUGUGCUCGGGUGGCUUUGCAAGCCAGGAAGUUGCCUCAUCAUUGGAGAACUGGGUUCUGUAUAUGGA
rnacentral:lncRNA from 1 species